UGGCCGAGUGGUCCAAGGCGCUGGAUUUAGGCUCCAGUCCCCAAAGGGAUGUGGGUUUGAAUCACAC
rnacentral:tRNA from 1 species